rnacentral:lncRNA from 1 species
GUUUGCCAUGUUCACUCAAACUUCUAGUUUUAAUCCAUCCCUUGUGGCUACUUGCGCAGUUUCAGUUUCUAUGCAAGCUCUUCUGCAUGACCUUGUACAGUUAUAAAUGUUUUAACAUCCAUAAAAAAGUAAAACCGUGCGCUCCCAUAAAGAGCAGCAAACAGAAAACACAGCGAGUAGAAGGAAGAUUUGAGGCCGUGCAACGCUAGUCUCGCUGCGGCCGACGUUCCUGCGCGUCCAUUGCAUCCCUGACGUUUAAUGGCUGUGAAUACGGUUAUCGCGGCUUUUUAGAGGGCAUUAUAUUAGUGUGACCGUCGGUCCACAUUGUGCCAGAACCAGCCCUUCUAUGAGUCAGUCUAGUUAUUGCUGUUGAGCCAGGAGGCCCACUCUAGACUGCUUUCCC